GCGACGCUGGCGGCGUGCCUAAUAAUGCAAUCCGAGCGAAUCACUGGGAGCUUGCUCCCUCUGGUUAGCGGCGGACGGGUGAGUAACACGUGGGCAACCUGCCUGUAAGACUGGGAUAACUUCGGGAAACCGGAGCUAAUACCGGAUAAUUUCUUCCCUCACAUGAGGGAAGGUUGAAAGUCGGUUUCGGCUGACACUUACAGAUGGGCCCGCGGCGCAUUAGCUAGUUGGUGAGGUAACGGCUCACCAAGGCGACGAUGCGUAGCCGACCUGAGAGGGUGAUCGGCCACACUGGGACUGAGACACGGCCCAGACUCCUACGGGAGGCAGCAGUAGGGAAUCUUCCACAAUGGACGAAAGUCUGAUGGAGCAACGCCGCGUGAGCGAUGAAGGCCUUCGGGUCAUAAAGCUCUGUUGUCAGGGAAGAACAAGUAUCGGAGUAACUGCCGGUACCUUGACGGUACCUGACCAGAAAGCCACGGCUAACUACGUGCCAGCAGCCGCGGUAAUACGUACGUGGCAAGCGUUAUCCAGAAUUAUUGGGCAUAAAGCGCGCGCAGGCGGUCCUUUAACUCUGAUGUGAAAGCCUACGGCUCAACCGUGCAGGGUCAUUGGAUACUGGGGUACUUGCAUGCAAAAGAGGGAGGCGCCAUUCCACGUGUAGCGUUGAAAUGCUAAGAGUGUGAGACAACGGCAUUGACCAAGGUUUGUUUUCUGACCUGUUCCUGCCGCUGAGGCGC
rnacentral:rRNA from 1 species